AGACUAUCCCCUCUGGUUAGGGGUUUGACUUUGCCUGUUUGGCAGGCAUUCCCUAUGCCAACAGUUGGGAGUGUAGACGGGUAGGGAAGGUCAGCAAAGUAUGCACACACCCCUCAAACGUCUGCCAGCUAGGUGGGUUCACUACAUGCAUUAUAGGUCAUACCCACCCACAUCUGCUCUUACCACUUUCCUUCCUAGUUCAAAGGCACCUCCUUCCACCACUUCAGAAUAACUCACAAGCUGCUGCCCUGCCAACUCCCAUGUCCUCAGCACACUUUGAGUCUCUUUUCAAGGCCCACAGAUUCAAAGGUAUAUGAUCCUGUGAAGACGGGGGCAGAUUUUCUGACAGAGCUUGCAAGAUGAGGCUUGAGAACCCAGGAGAUUCGGCCACACUGUUGGACAGCACGCGUCUUAUUCUCCACUGUAUCCCUCAGAAAACCCAGACCAGUUCUUUAGACACAGUGGAAAUUAAAUAAAGUAUUGGAUAAAUGUAUGGGAAGAUGAAUAAAUUAUAACCUAUGAUUUUAAGUUUAUGAUAUAUUUCCAUUUAGUCAAUGUAUGCUUUAAGUGAGAUUCAUCAGAAAAAGUCUGCUGAACAACCUUAUCUAACAUC
rnacentral:lncRNA from 1 species